UUGGUGACGGAAGUCCUCUACACUUCCGGGUCGCUCACUCCGUGAGGUGUUUUGCUGUGCUACAGAUCUUCGGGUGGCGGGCCAUCCUUCACCAUACCGGUUGAACGCCGUAAAUGAAAAGCGAGUAACACUGAUAGCUGCUGCGGUUUGCAUGCUCGGAGCUGCCUCCCUCUGGGUCUACUAAAAUGCUGCUUGAACGGAAUGCUGAAGCCGCCGGAGAUCCCUGUUAGCUGUAACACUUCAACUACUGGCUGCUGUUUUGCCUAAGAAAGCUUUUGCCUAAGAAAGCUUUUGCCGAGGCUGCUGUCUGUUGAGAUUGCUGUU